AUGACGCUGGCGGCAGGCCUACACAUGCAGUCGAGCGGCAGCCGAGGUGACUGGUCAUUUUUCACGAGAGCCGGAGAGGUGAGAAUUGUGUGGGGAACUGUGUGAGAGGAGGGAUAUCUAUACUGAACACUGUCUCUAAUAGCGUAUCGUCUCACAAGAAAAAAGAGGGACCCCUCGCCCCCGCGCUCUCAUAUGGCCCCAUAUGAUUAAUCUAAUGUGUGGUAAAACGUCUCAUAUACGAAAAAUCUAUCUGUGUCAGAGAAUAAGAACACACACUCUGGAAGAGACACACUCCACACACCCACACGGAGACAGAACUGGGGAAAUAUGCACUAGGCGCGAACUGUGUCGCCCUUCGCGUGGUGAGAAAAGGCUUCGGGUGAAAAUCAUUACACGAGAAAGCGCUUAAUUAUAAAACCCCCAUUAGCUUUCCCGCAAAAAACCGGUUAUUCCUGCCCAGCCCGGGUAUACCAGGGGUCAAGCUAAUCGAAAUAUGGCUUAAGACACAGGCGUAAAGGAUUAAUCGGGUACUGAAUGUCA
rnacentral:rRNA from 1 species